UUGGGCGUAAAGCGAGCGCAGACGGUUACUUAAGCAGGAUGUGAAAUCCCCGGGCUCAACCUGGGAACUGCGUUCUGAACUGGGUGACUAGAGUGUGUCAGAGGGAGGUAGAAUUCCACGUGUAGCAGUGAAAUGCGUAGAGAUGUGGAGGAAUACCGAUGGCGAAGGCAGCCUCCUGGGAUAACACUGACGUUCAUGCUCGAAAGCGUGGGUAGCAAACAGGAUUAGAUACCCUGGUAGUCCACGCCCUAAACGAUGUCAAUUAGCUGUUGGGCAACUUGAUUGCUUAGUAGCGUAGCUAACGCGUGAAAUUGACCGCCUGGGGAGUACGGUCGCAAGAUUAAAACUCAAAGGAAUUGACGGGGACCCGCACAAGCGGUGGAUGAUGUGGAUUAAUUCGAUGCAACGCGAAGAACCUUACCUGGUCUUGACAUGUACGGAAUCCUCCAGAGACGGAGGAGUGCCUUCGGGAGCCGUAACACAGGUGCUGCAUGGCUGUCGUCAGCUCGUGUCGUGAG
rnacentral:rRNA from 1 species